rnacentral:rRNA from 1 species
AGUGAACGCUGGCGGUAGGCCUAACACAUGCAAGUCGAACGGCAGCACAGAGGAGCUUGCUCCUUGGGUGGCGAGUGGCGGACGGGUGAGGAAUACAUCGGAAUCUACUCUGUCGUGGGGGAUAACGUAGGGAAACUUACGCUAAUACCGCAUACGACCUACGGGUGAAAGCAGGGGACCUUCGGGCCUUGCGCGAUUGAAUGAGCCGAUGUCGGAUUAGCUAGUUGGCGGGGUAAAGGCCCACCAAGGCGACGAUCCGUAGCUGGUCUGAGAGGAGGAUCAGCCACACUGGAACUGAGACACGGUCCAGGCUCCGACGGGAGGCAGCAGUGGGGAAUAUUGGAAAAUGGGCGCAAGCCUGAUCCAGCCAUACCGCGUGGGUGAAGAAGGCCUUCGGGUUGUAAAGCCCUUUUGUUGGGAAAGAAAUCCAGCUGGCUAAUACCCGGUUGGGAUGACGGUACCCAAAGAAUAAGCACCGGCUAACUUCGUGCCAGCCGCCGCAGUAA